CCUACGUGUGGCAGCAGUGAGGAAUAUUGGUCAAUGGACGAGAGUCUGAACCAGCCAAGUAGCGUGAAGGAUGACUGCCCUAUGGGUUGUAAACUUCUUUUAUAAAGGAAUAAAACGAGGCACGUGUGCCUUUUUGCAUGUACUUUAUGAAUAAGGAUCGGCUAACUCCGUGCCAGCAGCCGCGGUAAUACGGAGGAUCCGAGCGUUAUCCGGAUUUAUUGGGUUUAAAGGGAGCGUAGAUUGGUUGUUAAGUCAGUUGUGAAAGUUUGCGGCUCAAACGUAAGAUUGCAAUUGAUACUGGCAGUCCUGAGUACAGUUGAGGUAGGCGGAAUUUGUGGUGGAGCGGGGAAAAGCUUAGA
rnacentral:rRNA from 1 species